UGUGUGCCUGCUUGUGCGUGCUUGUGCAUAUGUGUAUGUCUGCACACACACACAAACACACACACACACACACACAUGUAUUGCACAC
rnacentral:miRNA from 14 species